GCCCGAGAUUAAGUGUUGAUUCAAUACGAUGCUUCACCUUCUACAAGUGAUGGCGGAUCUUGCUUUUUGUAGAGAAUUUACAGCUGCUUCUGGACAAAUAACAGUGUGGGAUGGCUGAUCCUCCAACUUUGAUCCAGCUCCUUCCUGGCUGUGGGAUGCAUCUGACAGCUCUCUGCUGGAAAAUUAAAGCAAAAAACUCUCUCAAACAAACAAACAAACAAACAAGAAAACCAAAAAACACCCCAGAAAUCAUAAAUACAAACAGGAUCCAGUUUAAGAUGCCAUAUGAAAUUUAGUCAUCAUGAUUGUCAAGUAUCUCUAGUCUGUGAUGAUUUCUUAUAUUUCCCCAAACCUUGAGUCUCACUGAGCAGUAACCAGAGAUCCUGGCUUUGUCUGACCUAGUAGUCUGGCUCAGGAAAUCUGCUGAGAUUCUUUUCCCCAGAUCUGGACUACGAAGUGCUGUUCCCCUGCUCUGCCUCCCAACCACCACAAAAUGAGCAGCUUUCUUCCACCAUACAAUUCUGCCAUGAUAUUCCUGCCUGGGAACCAGCUGACUAUGGACCAAACCCUCUGAAACCAUGAGCCAAAUUAACCUUCUCUCCUUUAAGUGGUGGAUGUCAGGUAUUUGUUGCCAGCAACAGAGAGCUGACUACUACAAUCAUUAUUUUUAAUCAUACAUAUUUGUGGAGUACAGUGAUCUAUCUAUCUAUCUAUCUAUCUAUCUAUCUAUCUAUCUAUCUAACAUGCCAUGACCAAAUUAGGGUCAUUAGCAUUUCUAUUUCCUUAAACUUUUAAACAACUCUUUGAUUAAGGCUUCUGCACUACAAACUGAGAGAAGGGAUAAUAUGGUCUGAGAAUUCAGUCUUCUUAAGGAUCCACAAGAAGCACAGGGAAUUAAAAUAAUUAUAAAAAGUGGAAAAAAAGAAUGUGAAUCAGAAUCAGGCUUUCCCCAUAAGUUACCCAUGCCCUCUGUUCAUGAGAUGUGUAGAAAUAUUAAACAUCAACCCCAGGCAAGUGAUUUGAGUCAAGAAAGUUUUUCGGUUUCUGUCUUGAAGUUGGUUGUUAGAACAGUUCUGACAUGAUUGGAUGGGAUGGCUUCUGGGUUAAGAGGAGGGGCUGGCUUUUGUGCUGCAUAUCUCCCAUGAAAUCUUACCCUUUUGGUGUCCUUGGGAGUUUCAUCUUUUUAAAAGGAUGGUCAUUUUCUUGGUGCCAAGAUACUGUUUUAGUGCUGGAGCACUUGUCAGGAAUUGUGACAUAAGACAGAAACUUACACUACUUGCCGUGAACAAAAAGGAAUGUGUCUUGUUAGCAGCACAGGCAGGAUACACAGCCCAGGCUGGUGGCUUUUAUUGCUUUUGCACAGGAGAGGAAAAUAUCAUCCAGCUUAAUGAUGCUGUAUCUUUGAAGAAAUAGGCAGGGUUUAACCCGAAGCGCCAGAACUAUGUGUUUCUGAUGGCCUGCUCCUGCUGACCUCCAGACGUGGAUAGUUGGGGAGCCUGCUUGCAGCCUUGGGAUGGCGUCUGAGCAGCACAGCAUCUGCAUGUAGGAGGAAUCAACAGCCCAUAGCACUUUGCUUAGUCAUGGGAAACUGGCCAGGGUGUGAGGCUUGGAGGGCCUCUCGUCAAAACUUUGGAGGGCUCUGUCAGUUUGAAAAGAACAUGACCUUUAAAUUGUAUCAGUAUGUUUGCUGGUGCAUAAGGGAAAGGAAAAGGUUCGUCCUGAUGGAAAACCACUCGGAGGCUAAGGAGUAAUUCAGAGGGAACCAGCCCAGGAAGAAUCAAGAAAGCUGCCCACGUUGUCGUGCCUCAUUGGUGAGGGAAGAGAUGACUAAACCUGUGGAACAGAGGAACAUGGUUUCCCCUCAGGAGCAAGGGCAAGUCACUGCCCACUGGCACUCUGGGAGGACACAGAAAUACUGCCCAGGACUCAUCCCACAGUCUUGCUGAGGCACAUGCUCUUGCCGGAUGUGCUUCCACACAAAGCCCACUGAGUGAGUACAAGUUCCAAAAGUUAGAUCUGCAAAGGUCUGAGGAUCUUCAGCAUUUUGUCACUCCUGAGCAAGUGAGGAAAGAUGAAGGAAAGAAAUUAAGGAAAAGAAGAAAGCAAGCAAAAAACUUAGCAAAGAUGUCAUUGCAUAAUAGUCCAUUAUGCCUCCAAUUGAGCCGUCAUGAACUAUCAAAGAAAUAAUUGCACAAUAGACCAUAAUGGCUUAAUCGUGUCAACAUCUUUACAUUUACAUAUUUUUUUAAUCAAUGGAAAUUAAGUACAAAAAUGGGUCUUUUGGUUUCCAUCCUGAUUUUACCUUUGCGAUUGGGGGUGGGGUGAAGGACUGCGUUCCCUCUGCCACCUUCAGGGGAGGCUGGACGCCCUGCAAGUUUCCCGGAGGAUCUGAUGGUUUGUCUGUGGAUGCUGCAAGGGCAUUGGCAGGGCAACUAGCCAGGGCAAGAAGACACAACACGGUGCUCUGCUGGCCACUGUAACAGGAGCCAGAAGGGGCGAACUUUGGUGUCGCCUCAGGAUCUGGCAUGUACUUGACCUCUGACUUCUGCGGAAACACAGGUUCUCUCUUUCUCCGCCCAACUCCCCCGGUGCGUGCCUUUCUAGUCCUAGACACUUACCAUGCAUGACAAAGGCCCCAGAACCACAGUUCUUCUCUCCAAAGGGAGAAGUCACCCUUUAAGUAGCUUGACCCUUCAGCCAUUCACAGUGGCAGUGGCCCCACUUUGACUUUGUCACAGCUCUUUCUGCUUGGGGUUUGUCCAUGCAGUGUGGUAAAAAGAAUAUAGUGUCGGUUUAAAUUUUUUAAAAAUUGUAUUACAGAAAAAGACACAUUGUCCUUAAUCCCCCUCAAAGUACUUUCCUUCAUUUUGAACACACUUAGCCCAUCGUUUUUGCCACGUUCUGAAGCAGUUCUGGAAGUCCACUUUUGUGAAUGUCUUUAGUUGCACACUUGUGGCUGCCUCAAUGUCUUGAUUUAAUUCAAAAUAUUUACCUUUCAUGGCCAUUUUGAUUUGAGGGAAGAGCCAGAAGUCAGAUAGUGCCAGAUCAGGUGAAAAGGAUGAGGACACACCGUAAUGUUUGUAUAAGCCCGCCUGCCUUUCCUUUGGAUGGUGGAUGGCAGCAGCAUUCGUUGUAUUUUUGAUCACAUCCUAUAAAGACAUUCAUGGAAAAGGACUUUCAGAACUGCUCAGAAAAUUUCAAAAAAUGAUGGGAUGAUUUAUGUUUAAAGGGAAAGGGACCUUCUGAGGGGGAUUAGUGGCAAUGUAUCUUUUACUGUAACAAAUUUUUAAAGUUUAAACAUUCAUAUUUUUUGAUCACUCCUAUAGCUUGAUGACCUGGUGGAGUUAAACCAGUAGAACCAACAGGCCCUUCCCUUCUUCCUUUUCCUCCUGUCUGCAGCCCAUUCAGG
rnacentral:lncRNA from 1 species